rnacentral:rRNA from 1 species
AUUGAACGCUGGCGGCAGGCCUAACACAUGCCAGUCGAGCGGAUGAAGGGAGCUUGCUCCUGGAUUCAGCGGCGGACGGGUGAGUAAUGCCUAGGAAUCUGCCUGGUAGUGGGGGAUAACGUCCGGAAACGGGCGCUAAUACCGCAUACGUCCUGAGGGAGAAAGUGGGGGAUCUUCGGACCUCACGCUAUCAGAUGAGCCUAGGUCGGAUUAGCUAGUUGGUGGGGUAAAGGCCUACCAAGGCGACGAUCCGUAACUGAUCUGAGAGGAUGAUCAGUCACACUGGAACUGAGACACGGUCCAGACUCCUACGGGAGGCAGCAGUGGGGAAUAUUGGACAAUGGGCGAAAGCCUGAUCCAGCCAUGCCGCGUGUGUGAAGAAGGUCUUCGGAUUGUAAAGCACUUUAAGUUGGGAGGAAGGGCAGUAAGUUAAUACCCUGCUGUUUUGACGUUACCAACAGAAUAAGCACCGGCUAACUUCGUG